CCUACGGGUGGCAGCAGUGGGGAAUAUUGGGCAAUGGGCGCAAGCCUGACCCAGCAACGCCGCGUGAAGGAAGAAGGCUUUCGGGUUGUAAACUUCUUUUCUCAGGGACGAAGCAAGUGACGGUACCUGAGGAAUAAGCCACGGCUAACUACGUGCCAGCAGCCGCGGUAAUACGUAGGUGGCAAGCGUUAUCCGGAUUUACUGGGUGUAAAGGGCGUGGAGGCGGGUCUUGAAGUCAGAUGUGAAAACCACGGGCUCAACCGGUGGCCUGCAUUUGAAACUGUAGUUCUUGAGUACUGGAGAGGCAGACGGAAUUCCUAGUGUAGCGGUGAAAUGCUGAGAUAUUAGGAGGAACACCGGUGGCGAGGGCGGUCUUCUGGACAGCAACUGACGCUGAGGCGCGAAAGCGUGGGGAGCAAACAGGAUUAGAUACCCUUGUAGUC
rnacentral:rRNA from 1 species